CUGGGACGCUGCCUUCCGGUGAGCUCCCCGCCCAGUGUUCGUGUUUACGCAUGCGCACUUCCUCCGGCCUGUCCUCGCUUCCGGUGCGUCCUAAGUACCCGCAGCUCUGGUCGCCGGGCUCUGGCCUCCGGUAGGGGAGACUGCGGGGCCGGGACACCGGCAGGGGAAGCACCACGCGGGCGCAAGCUGUGCGGACUAGGGUCCGCGCGGCUGGGCGGAGGCUUGAGUGGAAACCGAGCGCGGGCGCUGAGCCCCGAAGCCGUGGUGGAGGCCGAAGGGGCAGGGCGUGCGGCGGCGGCGGCACCUGGCGCGGCUCGCUGCGGCCUCGGCGAUCUGUCUCUGCUUUCAGACUUCAACAUUUUUCCAAGAGCAGUAGAAAAUGAAAAAAUCCCUGGUGAGUUUUUCUGUUCAUGUGUUUAUUCUUUGAUUUGACUUACAGUAUACUUUAGGAAUUGAAUAAAGGUUCCAACUUUACAGUGAAACACCAAAAGAUAAUAGAUCAGGCAAAACAAGUUGUAAUUAGUACUUGGCAUUUUUAUCUUGCCCAUUCAUGAAGAUAACACAGUUCUUAAAGAUUCUUGAAAACUAGAGUACAAAUGUGUCUCAUAUCCUUGACAUUCAUGGCAAAAAAGGACAAAACCAUCCAUUGCUCACCUUACACUGAGUGUAAGCAGAAUCAUGUUUGUUUUCUCAUGAAUUUUAAAGAUAUCUUGGAUGUAAUUGUGACUAGCCUUCCC
rnacentral:lncRNA from 1 species